GGUCUGGUGGUCUAGUGGUAUGAUUCGCGCUUAGGGAACACCCUAAUCAUUUAAUGCGCGAGGCCCCGGGUUCAAUCCCCGGCCAGACCC